GACGAACGCUGGCGGCGUGCCUAAUACAUGCCAGUAGAACGCUGAAGGAGGAGCUUGCUUCUCUGGAUGAGUUGCGAACGGGUGAGUAACGCGUAGGUAACCUGCCUGGUAGCGGGGGAUAACUAUUGGAAACGAUAGCUAAUACCGCAUAAGAGUAGAUGUUGCAUGACAUUUGCUUAAAAGGUGCAAUUGCAUCACUACCAGAUGGACCUGCGUUGUAUUAGCUAGUUGGUGAGGUAACGGCUCACCAAGGCAACGAUACAUAGCCGACCUGAGAGGGUGAUCGGCCACACUGGGACUGAGACACGGCCCAGACUCCUACGGGAGGCAGCAGUAGGGAAUCUUCGGCAAUGGACGGAAGUCUGACCGAGCAACGCCGCGUGAGUGAAGAAGGUUUUCGGAUCGUAAAGCUCUGUUGUAAGAGAAGAACGAGUGUGAGAGUGGAAAGUUCACACUGUGACGGUAUCUUACCAGAAAGGGACGGCGAACUACGU
rnacentral:rRNA from 1 species